rnacentral:rRNA from 1 species
AGUGAACGCUGGCGGUAGGCCUAACACAUGCAAGUCGAACGGCAGCACAGUAAGAGCUUGCUCUUACGGGUGGCGAGUGGCGGACGGGUGAGGAAUACAUCGGAAUCUACUUUUUCGUGGGGGAUAACGUAGGGAAACUUACGCUAAUACCGCAUACGACCUACGGGUGAAAGCAGGGGAUCUUCGGACCUUGCGCGAUUGAAUGAGCCGAUGUCGGAUUAGCUAGUUGGCGGGGUAAAGGCCCACCAAGGCGACGAUCCGUAGCUGGUCUGAGAGGAUGAUCAGCCACACUGGAACUGAGACACGGUCCAGACUCCUACGGGAGGCAGCAGUGGGGAAUAUUGGACAAUGGGCGCAAGCCUGAUCCAGCCAUACCGCGUGGGUGAAGAAGGCCUUCGGGUUGUAAAGCCCUUUUGUUGGAAAAGAAAAGCAGCAGGUUAAUACCCCGCUGUUCUGACGGUACCCAAAGAACAAGCACCGGCUAACUUCGUG